CCCUGUGCAAGGCCCUGGGAUUUUAAAAGGGCUGGUUUGCUCCUGAAGGGGAGGGGCAAGCAGGCUGCCAGAGCUCUAGUGGAUUUUUUUUUCCUCUCUUUUUCUAUUUUAUUUUAUUUUUCGCAAAGAUCCUGUAUUAACGGCCUCCUGUCGGACAGGACCGCGUCGAGCGAGCGGAGAGGGGACGGGCUGGUGCCCAGCGGCGUGCCAGGCAUGGGCCGGCGCGGCCCCCGGUGCCUGCCAGCACAGCUGGCUCCCGAUGACUUCAGCGGCUGAGAGAGUUCGCUGUGUUUCUCCCUCUUCCCUUUCGGCACAGGAAUUGUUACUCACUGCGUACACAAUGCCAGCUAUUACAUGGAAUUACAGGAAAUCUUCGUGUAUCACAUCUUCAAAGAGAUGCAUUGAAAAGCAAUAGCAAAGAUAUCCAUUUCUUCCUACUUUGUUAUUUGUCUUGGCUCAGAACAUGGGGUGAUGCUGCGCUUUCCUCACCGUGCCCCUGAGCUGUGCCCAGGUCCCCUACCCAUCCCUGAAGUCCCCUCUCCUCCUGGGGCACAGCGACACGGGCUGGCAACCCUGCGACCGCCGCGUGGUGCCUUCUUGCCCAGGCAAUGGCUCUUCGUAGCUACGUGAGACACCGGCAGUGAGCAGCCAGAAUACGCUCCUUCCUGCUUUUCUGCAGUGUUGAAGGAACGUAAAUAUGACUCCCAUAAAGCUGCGUGUUUGCUUGGACCCCAUGGAGCAAAGCAGCUCCAGCGGCUGGAGCUCGGCGCAGUGGCACCGGUGGCCGAGCAUGCCUGGGACCCACCACCACGAGAGCCCCUUCCCCGGGGUCAUGUCCAGCGAAUCCCUCCCAUUUCCAGUGACAUUCUUCACUGUACGGCUUGCUCUCUGCUUGCUCUAGCUACUUUGGAUUUAAUUACAUUUCCAGCAUGUCACAAGUACUUAAUUGUGAAUAGCUAAACAUUUAAGACACAGGAAUAUCUCUCCAAAUAAACACAUGUACGGAUGAUACAGA